GACGAACGCUGGCGGCGUGCCUAAUACAUGCCAGUAGAACGCUGAAGGAGGAGCUUGCUUCUCUGGAUGAGUUGCGAACGGGUGAGUAACGCGUAGGUAACCUGCCUGGUAGCGGGGGAUAACUAUUGGAAACGAUAGCUAAUACCGCAUAAGAGUAGAUGUUGCAUGACAUUUGCUUAAAAGGUGCAAUUGCAUCACUACCAGAUGGACCUGCGUUGUAUUAGCUAGUUGGUGAGGUAACGGCUCACCAAGGCGACGAUACAUAGCCGACCUGAGAGGGUGAUCGGCCACACUGGGACUGAGACACGGCCCAGACUCCUACGGGAGGCAGCAGUAGGGAAUCUUCGGCAAUGGACGGAAGUCUGACCGAGCAACGCCGCGUGAGUGAAGAAGGGUUUCGGAUCGUAAAGCUCUGUUGUAAGAGAAGAACGAGUGUGAGAGUGGAAAGUUCACACUGUGACGGUAUCUUACCAGAAAGGGACGGCUAACUACGUG
rnacentral:rRNA from 1 species